ACUUGUGUAUAAUAUUAAAGUACAUGCAAUUAGAACUUUAACAACAAGUGAACACAUGUACCAGCUUGGGGACCAUCCCUGAGGAAAAGAACAAAAUCUUGUUAUAGUUACUCCUCUCUGUCAAGUCUUCACUCAGACGUGGAAGGCAAUUGCUGGAAGAACCUUUGUGGACUUCUGUCUCAUAAGCAGGAUACAGAAAGUGAGCAAAGGACUCACUACCCACUGGUAAGCAAAAAUCCACCUUUACAGGAAUGAAAGAAUACGUAAAGAUGCAAUCCAGCACAAUCCAUAGUGAGAUGUCUGAUCUUCUCUCAUGUAUCGUAAUGGAUUGCAUUUGUUUCUUCAAGACCUUUAAAAGUUGUAUUUACAGGUGAAAUUUCAUAGUGACAAAGGCCUUGCUUUGUUUUCUUAUAAUUCAUACUCACAAUGACUACAAGGGCUGCUCCAAAAGUAAUGCCUCCUAUUUUAUUAUGUUGGCACACAACAUCACAGGUAUAUGUUGGUGGUAUGGCAGUAGAGGUUGAACCUUUCCACAACAUCCUGUUACAUUUUGUUGCCUUGUGACAGAUGG